rnacentral:rRNA from 1 species
CCAGACUCCUACGGGAGGCAGCAGUGGGGAAUAUUGCACAAUGGGGGGAACCCUGAUGCAGCGACGCCGCGUGGGUGAAGGAGCACCUCGGUGCGUAAAGCCCUAUCGGCAGGGAAGAAACAGACGGUACCUGACUAAGAAGCCCCGGCUAACUACGUGCCAGCAGCCGCGGUAAUACGUAGGGGGCAAGCGUUAUCCGGAUUCACUGGGUGUAAAGGGGGCGCAGACGGCAGCGCAAGCCAGGAGUGAAAGCCCGGGGCCCAACCCCGGGACUGCUCUUGGAACUGCGUGGCUAGAGUGAAGUAGAGGCAGGCGGAAUUCCUAGUGUAGCGGUGAAAUGCGUAGAUAUUAGGAGGAACACCAGUGGCGAAGGCGGCCUGCUGGGCUUUUACUGACGCUGAGGCUCGAAAGUGUGGGGAGCAAACAGGAUUAGAUACCCUAGUAGA